rnacentral:rRNA from 1 species
UACGGAGGGUGCAAGCGUUGUCCGGAUUCACUGGGUUUAAAGGGUGCGUAGGCGGGCAGGUAAGUCAGUGGUGAAAUCCUAGAGCUUAACUCUAGAACUGCCAUUGAUACUAUCUGUCUUGAAUAUUGUGGAGGUAAGCGGAAUAUGUCAUGUAGCGGUGAAAUGCUUAGAUAUGACAUAGAACACCUAUUGCGAAGGCAGCUUACUACGCAUAUAUUGACGCUGAGGCACGAAAGCGUGGGGAUCAAACAGG